GGCUUGCCAUCUUCCUGCCCUCCCAGCGCCCAGGAGGCUGAGCCUUGGCAAGAUGGCAGCUUUUGCCUAAAUUGCAUCAAAGUGAGCAGAAAGAGUGGUGAGCAAAGUAGAAUCUGCUUGUUUCCGAGGAUCAGCGAGAAGGCACAUGUGAAGCUCACCCCGGUUCUGUCUGUUUCUGCUCUCGUACGAAGACCCCAUAUGGAGCCAGUGACAACCGGGGCCCGUGGGGAAGGCAGGACGAGGACUGGGCCACGCUGCUCAGCACAGGGUCAGCUGGCUGGACUAGGGUCGGCUGGCCAGGUGCGGAGUGGGCUGGUCAGGCGUGGGCUGGGCUGGUCAGGCGUGGGGUGGGCUGGUCAGGCGUGGGGUCGGCUGGUCAGGCGUGG
rnacentral:lncRNA from 1 species